GCUUAUUACAAGUUCAUUCCAUGUCUUAUUAUAAUUUUUGUUCAACUAACUAUUAUUAUCCCUUGUGUUAUAGGAGGAAAAGUUCCAGCAAUUAUAGUAUUCGGCGAUUCAUCGGUAGAUGCUGGAAAUAAUAAUCAAAUUUCUACUGUUCUUAAGAGUAAUUUUGAGCCUUAUGGACGUGAUUUUUAUGGUAAAAUGCCA
rnacentral:misc_RNA from 1 species